AGUGAACGCUGGCGGUAGGCCUAACACAUGCAAGUCGAACGGCAGCACAGUAAGAGCUUGCUCUUACGGGUGGCGAGUGGCGGACGGGUGAGGAAUACAUCGGAAUCUACUUUUUCGUGGGGGAUAACGUAGGGAAACUUACGCUAAUACCGCAUACGACCUACGGGUGAAAGCAGGGGAUCUUCGGACCUUGCGCGAUUGAAUGAGCCGAUGUCGGAUUAGCUAGUUGGCGGGGUAAAGGCCCACCAAGGCGACGAUCCGUAGCUGGUCUGAGAGGAUGAUCAGCCACACUGGAACUGAGACACGGUCCAGACUCCUACGGGAGGCAGCAGUGGGGAAUAUUGGACAGUGGGCGCAAGCCUGAUCCAGCCAUACCGCGUGGGUGAAGAAGGCCUUCGGGUUGUAAAGCCCUUUUGUUGGGAAAGAAAAGCAGCAGGUUAAUACCCCGCUGUUCUGACGGUACCCAAAGAAUAAGCACGGCUAACUUCGUG
rnacentral:rRNA from 1 species